AUUACAACAGAUGGUGACACUUCAAAAAUACUUCAUUGUUCUUUGACUUCUUCUUGUCAUUCUCAGAUGCGCCUGAAACUUUUUAUGACUCAUUCAUGACGGCAUGUUGACAGCUAAGCCAGCAAUUAAUGCCCAUCCCUAAUUGUCCAGAGGGCAGGUAAAAGUCAACCGCGUCACUAUGUGGUCUGCAGUCACAUGUAGGCCAAAUCAGGAUUAUCCCUGUUAGGUUUCGAUGGGGAAGAUGGUCGGGUAAGUUGGAGACCUGCUCCUGGAUCUCGGAUCAAAGAAUGCGUACAGUAUGGAGAGAAGCCAUUCGGACCAUUGAGUCUGCACUGACACUCUGAAGAGCAUCGCACCCAGACUGAGCUCCUACACUAUCACCGUAACCCCGCAUUUUUACCAUAGCUACAAGCCUGCACAUCUCUAGCCACUAUGUACAAUUUAGGGUAGCUAAUCUGCCCAACCUGUGACUGUGGGAGGAAGUUGGAGCACCUGGC